GCCAAGAUAGCUUAGAGGCGAAGCGGUUGGCUGCAGACCAAUUACACGGGAGUUCAAAUCUCUCUCUUGGCU
rnacentral:tRNA from 4 species